AGAUAGAUAGAUAGAUAGAUAGAUAGAUAGAUAGAUAGAUAGAUAGAUAGAUAGAUAGAUAAAUAGAAUAAAAUCUAUACUCACACAUCUGGUACAUACCAUGAAGGUUCUGUAUAAACAGUAAUUCUGGGCCAAUGCUCUAAAGGCAGUACCAUAAACAUGGUCUUGACAUUGGUUUCCAUGGUGAUUACUUCACUUGUAGAACUUUGCCCCGAACAGCUCUCCAUAAACAUUCUACACAGAAUUACACGUUUUUCAUUUUACCCGUGGAGCUUUAGGCAACAAGUAUGUGAAUAUAAAAAUAGAUAAAGAAGAUAUGUUUGUGUGUCUGUCUGCUGUUUUCAUCUAUAUUCAAACAGCGUGGAUGUGUCUGUGUGUGUGUCUAUAUAUGUUUCUAUAUGUGUUUGUCUAUAUAUUGAUAUACACAGUGUGUGUGUGUGUGUGUGUGUGUGUGUGUGUGUGUGUGUGUGUGUGUGUGUGUGUCUUUCCUUGUGCACUAUUUGCCUGCUCCUGCUGCUGUCUUCAUGUUUCCAGUGUUUGCUUCUCCUCUGGAAAUUAAGAAAAUGUAAGGAUAUUACCUCCCAGGCAGCUAAUCCCAGUCUCCUGACAGCAUUUGCUGGGAGUAUUCUCUGGAUUCCGUGGAAGAAUCGAUGACAGGGCUCUGUAUUAGCUGGGACCAGUGCAGAGUCCACUCUUCGUCCUCCCUGCCUGAGGACAGACAUGCAGCCACCAAACCGUGAGAGCAGGAGAGACAGCAGCAGCAACAGCAGCCAGGAGUCCAUGGCUUGACACCUCACAUCUGUGGGGAAUCCUCCACACACACACAAAAAAAAAACUUCAGAGAAGGAGGAAACUCCAAAGAGCUGCGAUUUUUUUUUUUUGUUUGUUUAUGUUAUUUGUCUGUCAACGAAUUGUUCUGCUAAUAUAAUGUUUGAGUCAGGAGACCUUGCUGAGAUAGAAGCCAGAUUUCCAGGCUAUGGGGAGACACAAACCACUGACUUCUCACCUCCUGGGGAACAGGGCUGCUGGCUGCACCACAUCUCACUGGGGUGGGUCACUCUCUCAAUCUGAUCACUUUCAUCACAGCAAUCGAUACAAUGCAGUAAAAUAAAACAGGGGUUCUAAAAUGGAAAUAUAUUGCAGUGAGUAAUAUUCAUAGUUCAUAGCCUUAAUGCAUGCAUUGAUUUUCGAUUAAUACACGCA